rnacentral:rRNA from 1 species
UACGUAGGGUGCGAGCGUUGUCCGGAUUUAUUGGGCGUAAAGAGCGUGUAGGCGGCCAGACAGGUCCGUUGUGAAAACUCGAGGCUCAACCUCGAGAUGUCGAUGGAAACCGUCUGGCUAGAGUCCGGAAGAGGAGUGUGGAAUUCCUGGUGUAGCGGUGAAAUGCGCAGAUAUCAGGAAGAACACCUAUGGCGAAGGCAGCACUCUGGGACGGUACUGACGCUGAGACGCGAAAGCGUGGGGAGUGAACAGG